GAGCGGAUCUCGAGGAGCUUGCUCCUUGAGAUUAGCGGCGGACGGGUGAGUAACACGUGGGCAACCUGCCUGUAAGACUGGGAUAACACCGGGAGACCGGUGCUAAUACCGGUAUAAUUCAUUCCCUCCCAUGAGGGAAUGCUGAAAGUCGGUUUCGGCUGACACUUACAGAUGGGCCCGCGGCGCAUUAGCUAGUUGGUGAGGUAAUGGCUCACCAAGGCGACGAUGCGUAGCCGACCUGAGAGGGUGAUCGGCCACACUGGGACUGAUACACGGCCCAUACUCCUACGGGAGGCAGCAGUAGGGAAUCUUCCGCAAUGGACGAAAGUCUGACGGAGCAACGCCGCGUGAGUGAUGAAGGCCUUCGGGUCGUAAAACUCUGUUGUUAGGGAAGAACAAGUACCGGAGUAACUGCCGGUACCUUGACGGUACCUAACCAGAAAGCCACGGCUAACUACGUGCCAGCAGCCGCGGUAAU
rnacentral:rRNA from 1 species